rnacentral:lncRNA from 1 species
GUGAGACGCCGAGCGUUUUGCGGACCCCGCGCGCACCAGCCUGCUUGGUUUCCCCGCGAGGACAGCAUCCGGACCGGGGCCAGAACCAGAUGAACUGUAGUGUUCUGCGCCUGAGUCCUUCUUCCAGGCCACAGAGACGCCAUCCAGGGGAAGAGCUACCCAGUGACGGCCACCGCUACAGCCCGGCUUCCUGCCUGGUCACAGUUUGAGGCAGCAGGAAAAUUGCCAAUCUUGGUUAAACGAUUGCAUUUGCUGUGGACAUUGGAAUGCACUGUCUGUGGGAGAUUUGGAGCCGAUAGUCAAGAUCUCUGUAAAUGCAUCCUGCUCAGAAAGACGCUGUGUUCCCUUAGCUUCUUGAGAGUGGAUCUGAAUCGAAGAAACCCCAGAAUGUCUGCCAGUGAGCAGCAACAGAGAAGAAUCAAGGAUUAUAGUAUACUGAGGAUUCAUUCCUGCGCCCCGUCCCUAAAAAUGAGGAUUUCUCCAAAACAGCACUAAACUCUUCUUCCACCUGCCUGUCAGUUCUUCACCGUGAAAAACUUGCUGCUGUUUAAAAACAACAACAAAAAAUCCUGUUGAAAUACUCUGAAAUCACAAUCCUGGCUAGUGUGAGUUGCAGGUUACAAGGCUCAAUUAUUCGUUUAGCAGGAUCACUAUCAGCAGAGUGACUAGAAUCCACUUUCACAAUUGUUGCCUUCACAAUGAAUUACUUGGGAUGAAAAUCUUUGCCCAAUCAGAAAAUAGAUAAACAUUUUCAUCA